CAGGAGAUAGUUUAGGUAAGAAUAUUGGCUUUGGAUGUCAAUGGUAAGAUAAAAAAAUUUCUUUUUCCUGA
rnacentral:tRNA from 1 species